rnacentral:rRNA from 1 species
GAUGAACGCUGGCGGCGUGCCUAAUACAUGCAAGUCGAGCGAACAGACGAGAAGCUUGCUCCUCUGACGUUAGCGGCGGACGGGUGAGUAACACGUGGAUAACCUACCUAUAAGACUGGGAUAACUUCGGGAAACCGGAGCUAAUACCGGAUAAUAUUAUGAACCGCAUGGUUCAAUAGUGAAAGACGGUCUUGCUGUCACUUAUAGAUGGAUCCGCGCUGCAUUAGCUAGUUGGUAAGGUAACGGCUUACCAAGGCAACGAUGCGUAGCCGACCUGAGAGGGUGAUCGGCCACACUGGAACUGAGACACGGUCCAGACUCCUACGGGAGGCAGCAGUAGGGAAUCUUCCGCAAUGGGCGAAAGCCUGACGGAGCAACGCCGCGUGAGUGAUGAAGGUCUUCGGAUCGUAAAACUCUGUUAUUAGGGAAGAACAAAUGUGUAAGUAACUAUGCACGUCUUGACGGUACCUAAUCAGAAAGCCACGGCUAACUACGUG